rnacentral:rRNA from 1 species
CGUAGGUAAUCUUCCCUUGAGCGGGGGACAACGGUCCGAAAGGACCGCUAAUACCGCAUACGUUUCUUGGGACUCCGGUCCUGGGAAGGAAAGCUAGGCCGCAAGGUCCGGCACUCGAGGAGGAGCCUGCGUCGCAUCAGCUAGUUGGUGGGGCAAUGGCCUACCAAGGCGAAGACGCGUAGCUGGUCUGAGAGGAUGAUCAGCCACAUUGGGACUGAGACACGGCCCAA